CAGUCGAGCGAACACUUAAGUUUGAUUCUUCGGAUGAAGACUUUUGUGACUGAGCGGCGGACGGGUGAGUAACGCGUGGGUAACCUGCCUCAUACAGGGGGAUAACAGUUAGAAAUGACUGCUAAUACCGCAUAAGACCACGGUACCGCAUGGUACAGUGGUAAAAACUCCGGUGGUAUGAGAUGGACCCGCGUCUGAUUAGGUAGUUGGUGGGGUAACGGCCUACCAAGCCGACGAUCAGUAGCCGACCUGAGAGGGUGACCGGCCACAUUGGGACUGAGACACGGCCCAGACUCCUACGGGAGGCAGCAGUGGGGAAUAUUGCACAAUGGAGGAAACUCUGAUGCAGCGACGCCGCGUGAAGGAUGAAGUAUUUCGGUAUGUAAACUUCUAUCAGCAGGGAAGAAAAUGACGGUACCUGACUAAGAAGCCCCGGCUAACUACGUGCCAGCAGCCGCGGUAAUACGUAGGGGGCAAGCGUUAUCCGGAUUUACUGGGUGUAAAGGGAGCGUAGACGGCACGGCAAGCCAGAUGUGAAAGCCCGGGGCUCAACCCCGGGACUGCAUUUGGAACUGCUGAGCUAGAGUGUCGGAGAGGCAAGUGGAAUUCCUAGUGUAGCGGUGAAAUGCGUAGAUAUUAGGAGGAACACCAGUGGCGAAGGCGGCUUGCUGGACGAUGACUGACGUUGAGGCUCGAAAGCGUGGGGA
rnacentral:rRNA from 1 species